rnacentral:rRNA from 1 species
CAGCAGCCGCGGGAAUACGUAGGGUGCAAGCGUUAAUCGGAAUUACUGGGCGUAAAGCGUGCGCAGGCGGUUUGUUAAGACAGAUGUGAAAUCCCCGGGCUCAACCUGGGAACUGCAUUUGUGACUGGCAAGCUAGAGUCUGGCAGAGGGGGGUGGAAUUCCGCGUGUAGCAGUGAAAUGCGUAGAUAUGCGGAGGAACACCGAUGGCGAAGGCAGCCCCCUGGGCCAACACUGACGCUCAUGCACGAAAGCGUGGGGAGCAAACAGGAUUAGAUACCCCUGUAGUCCCUGUCUCUUAUAA